ensembl:miRNA gga-mir-12234 gga-mir-12234
AGUGGGAAAAGGUGAGAUCUGUGUGCCCUGUUAUAAUCUUUUCCUUUUCUUCACAGA